rnacentral:lncRNA from 1 species
GAGUGCGGAGGGGGCGGGGGCGGAGUCGCCAUCUUGGACUCGGUUCGACCAGGUCUGGUGACCGGCGACGAGGGGCCGGGCUCGGCGCCGGGGGUCGGGGAAAGAAGAACUAGGUCUGGCAGUAGAUCAGAAUCUACCUGUUGGGGAAAACCAGAAAUAGGAAGAAGAGUUAUUAAUGGUUCAUUCUUGGCUGAGAAGAAUUCAGUAUGGAAUAAUUAAGGACUGACUUUAAGAGAAUCUACUUGUCACUGGAUUUAGGGUACACCUGGAUAAUCCAAGAUGAUCUCACCUGAAAAUUUUUAAUUACAUCUGCAAAGACCUUUUCUUCAAAUAAAGUAAUAUUCACAGGGUCUGGGGA